GACGAACGCUGGCGGCGUGCCUAAUACAUGCAAGUAGAACGCACAGUUUAUACCGUAGCUUGCUACACCAUAAACUGUGAGUUGCGAACGGGUGAGUAACGCGUAGGUAACCUGCCUGGUAGCGGGGGAUAACUAUUGGAAACGAUAGCUAAUACCGCAUAAUAUUGAUUAUUGCAUGAUAAUUGAUUGAAAGAUGCUAUUGCAUCACUACCAGAUGGACCUGCGUUGUAUUAGCUAGUAGGUGAGGUAACGGCUCACCUAGGCGACGAUACAUAGCCGACCUGAGAGGGCGAUCGGCCACACUGGGACUGAGACACGGCCCAGACUCCUACGGGAGGCAGCAGUAGGGAAUCUUCGGCAAUGGACGAAAGUCUGACCGAGCAACGCCGCGUGAGUGAAGAAGGUUUUCGGAUCGUAAAGCUCUGUUGUAAGAGAAGAACGGGUGUGAGAGUGGAAAGUUCACACUGUGACGGUAUCUUACCAGAAAGGGACGGCUAACUACGUG
rnacentral:rRNA from 1 species